rnacentral:rRNA from 1 species
GCCUAUGGCCAUACCACCCUGGCAAUGCCCGAUCUUGUCUGAUCUUGGAAGCUAAGCAGGGUCGGACCCAGUUAGUACUUGCAUGGGAGACCUCCUGGGAAUACUGGGUGCUGUAGGCU